GCAGGGCUACUGACAGACGGGUGGUGUGGCUCCACGACUGGGAAGUGAACCUGGGCUGCUGAAGUGGUGAGCCCUGAACUAUAACCACUAGGCCAUCGGGGCUGGCUCUCAAAACGUUUUCGGUAGCCAUUGAGGAGAAGAUUAGCCCUGAGCUAACAUCUACUGCCAAUCCUCCUCUUUUUGCUGAGGAAGACUGGCUCUGAGACAACAUCUGUGCCUAUCUUCCUCUGCUGUAUAUACGGGACGCCUGCCACAGCAUGGCGUGACAAGCGGUCCAUGUCCGCACCUGGGAUCCGAACCGGCAAACCCUGGGCCGCCGAGAAGUGGAAUGUGCGAACUUAACCAUUGCGCCACCAGGCCGGCCCCCAUAACUUACUUUAAAAUCAGGAAAAAGAACCCCCAUACGUGUUGGUGUUUCGAUUUGAUCGACUCAGAGGUGGUUAAAAUGCGCAGUCAGUGGAUGUGGAAGGCCGCGGCCGUGUGCAGUGACCUAGUGUGGGAGUGGAGUCUGGGACCGCAGUCUGGGCUCAGGGUGAACCAGGGGAUGAGCAAGCGCGAGGGAGGCGUUUUCCAGGAGAGCUGAGAGGAAAGGACAUCCGUGUGUCUGUGGGGUCCUUUGGGCCAAGGUUAAGUAAAUCCUGCUGUUUGAGACGCUGUCCGCUGACAGGCGAGCUCAGGGCUGCUGACCUGGUUUCCAGGCUGCUUGUGUUUGGGGACUGGUCUGGGAGCCCUCUCGCAGAGCCCUGCCGCUUCCCCUGUCUUCUCUGCCAGGGUGUGGCUGUUGGAGGUGGCUGGAGGUGACUGAGUCCUGGGAGGUGAGUGGGCGGAGGAGCCUGGGAGCCACCCCUAAUCAGCCUCUGAAUCUCUGGAGCAAAGUUAUUAGGGUCCUGUCCAGACAAGCUGUUGUCACCCAUGUCCCAACUCCACUCCUUUCAUCCCUUCUUGCCUUCUAUUUGUAUUUCCCGUGCAGGUUGCCUCUGCUGGAUACCCACGCCCUCAUGUGCUGCUGGGGAGUGAUGCAGGGGGCACUGAGUCUGAACCUCAGGUCUCCACCCCAAUGCCCCCAACUCUGGCAAUGAGAGCUGGAUGGAC
rnacentral:lncRNA from 1 species